rnacentral:rRNA from 1 species
AGACGUCUACAUUAGAUACCCGCGUAGUCCCAGCCGUAAACCAUGCGCGUUAGGUGUAUCGGUGACCACGAGUCACCGAGGUGCCGAAGGGAAACCGUGAAACGUGCCGCCUGGGAAGUACGGUCGCAAGGCUGAAACUUAAAGGAAUUGGCGGGGGAGCACCACAACGGGCGAAGCCUGCGGUUUAAUUGGACUCAACGCCGGGAAGCUCACCGGAUAAGACAGCGGAAUGAUUGCCGGGCUGAAGACUCUGCAUGACUAGCUG